rnacentral:rRNA from 1 species
AUUGAACGCUGGCGGCAGGCCUAACACAUGCAAGUCGAACGGUAGCACAGAGAGCUUGCUCUCGGGUGACGAGUGGCGGACGGGUGAGUAAUGUCUGGGAAACUGCCCGAUGGAGGGGGAUAACUACUGGAAACGGUAGCUAAUACCGCAUAACGUCGCAAGACCAAAGUGGGGGACCUUCGGGCCUCACACCAUCGGAUGUGCCCAGAUGGGAUUAGCUAGUAGGUGGGGUAAUGGCUCACCUAGGCGACGAUCCCUAGCUGGUCUGAGAGGACGACCAGCCACCAUGGAACUGAGUCACUGUCCAGGAUCAUACGGGGGGCAGCAGUGGGGAAUAUUGCACAAUGGGCGCAAGCCUGAGGCAGCCAUGCCGCGUGUAUGAAGAAGGCCUUCGGGUUGUAAAGUACUUUCAGCGGGGAGGAAGGCGGUGAAGUUAAUAGCUUCACCGAUUGACGUUACCCGCAGAAGAAGCACCGGCUAACUCCGUGCCAGCAGCCGCCGUAA